GAUGAACGCUGGCGGCGUGCCUAAUACAUGCAAGUCGAGCGAACAGACGAGGAGCUUGCUCCUCUGACGUUAGCGGCGGACGGGUGAGUAACAUGUGGAUAACCUACCUAUAAGACUGGGAUAACUUCGGGAAACCGGAGCUAAUACCGGAUAAUAUAUUGAACCGCAUGGUUCAAUAGUGAAAGACGGUUUUGCUGUCACUUAUAGAUGGAUCCGCGCCGCCUUAGCUAGUUGGUAAGGUAACGGCUUACCAAGGCGACGAUGCGUAGCCGACCUGAGAGGGUGAUCGGCCACACUGGAACUGAGACACGGUCCAGACUCCUACGGGAGGCAGCAGUAGGGAAUCUUCCGCAAUGGGCGAAAGCCUGACGGAGCAACGCCGCGUGAGUGAUGAAGGUCUUCGGAUCGUAAAACUCUGUUAUUAGGGAAGAACAAAUGUGUAAGUAACUAUGCACGUCUUGACGGUACCUAAUCAGAAAGCCACGGCUAACUACGUG
rnacentral:rRNA from 1 species